GGGGUUGUAGCUCAGUGGCAGAGCACUUGCCUCACAUGCAUGAGGUGCUGAGUUCAAUCCUCAGCAUCACAU
rnacentral:tRNA from 1 species